GAUGAACGCUAGCUACAGGCUUAACACAUGCAAGUCGAGGGGAAACGGCAUUAAGUGCUUGCACUUUUUGGACGUCGACCGGCGCACGGGUGAGUAACGCGUAUCCAACCUUCCCAUGACUAAGGGAUAACCUGCCGAAAGGCAGACUAAUACCUUAUGGUCUUCACUGACGGCAUCAGAUGUGAAGUAAAGAUUUAUCGGUUAUGGAUGGGGAUGCGUCUGAUUAGUUAGUUGGCGGGGUAACGGCCCACCAAGGCAACGAUCAGUAGGGGUUCUGAGAGGAAGGUCCCCCACAUUGGAACUGAGACACGGUCCAAACUCCUACGGGAGGCAGCAGUGAGGAAUAUUGGUCAAUGGGCGAGAGCCUGAACCAGCCAAGUAGCGUGCAGGAUGACGGCCCUAUGGGUUGUAAACUGCUUUUGUAUGGGGAUAAAGUCAAUCACGUGUGAUUGUUUGCAGGUACCAUA
rnacentral:rRNA from 1 species